rnacentral:lncRNA from 1 species
AUCACUUGUAAGAGCCGACACACCAGACUCGCCUUUGCGCUUGUUCUCAACGCUGCACAGCCAGUAAGAGUUGUCUUCAAUCACGCUUCUUCAGAGGCUCAACGGACUCAAACUGGUUUUGGCUGUCGCUUGCCACUCAGUGGCCUGGGUCCUCCUCACAGGUGUGAGUAGGACCACUUGGGCAGCUGGCCACUGAGACAACACAACAGCCCCAAGCUCCUGUUACGCUUGCGCUCACAAACUGCACUGAUCCUCCACUGUCACCGCUGUACCGCUGCCGCUCUGUGUCUCUUCAAUACCUGCCGGGCUUUGGAAGCUGCCAGCAACCGCACGUCACCACUGGUGUAACACGACGGUCUGCUUUCCCCUUCACGCGUGUCUGCUGGCUGGUGAGGGUACCUCUGGCCAGGCGUCACCUCGCGGGCUGUGCGGUGGCGAGUGUCCCCUUCGCGCUCGUCCUCAAGAGCUCACGGCACGCCGCUCUGUGUCUCUUCAAUACCUGCCGGGCUUUGGAAGCUGCCAGCAACCGCACGUCACCACUGGUGUAACACGACGGUCUGCUUUCCCCUUCACGCGUGUCUGCUGGCUGCCGGCUGCACGCUCUGAGGCCUCAAUGGCUGUGAGGAAGGGAUGGUAGUUGUAGCGUUGCCACAGGUGGGUGGUCUGGACAUACGCGAUUUGCGUAACGGAAGACCCGGCCAAGCAGAGACUUGCGGAGAAAAGUGUGUAAACGGGGCGCCGAUCCACGCACUUGGAGUACGGAAGGAGCCAGCGGCGGAGAGACGGCAUCAUGGACAAGAAUACUAAAGAGAACCAUUCUGGACACCAUAGCUAUGCUGCUAAGACUGUAAAUCCCAUCGGGGAUGGCCCAAAACGUGUCCCUGUGCCUCAGCAUUCUGCUCACAGCCGGUUACUAAGCAGUGGAGUCCAAGCACAACGUGUUCUAUGUCCUUCGAACUUGGCCCAGCGAGUUCCUGUACAAACGCAAAAAUCUGCACUGUCAAACCAAAAACUGUCCAACAACCAGACAGGGCAGCAGCCACGACCAAAAUCUCUGGUCCAGCCAACUGCUAGGCCUCAAGUUCCAAGCAAGAACAAUGAAAAACCUCAGCAGGCUCCAGGAUCUGGUAAUUAAGAUGAUGCAUAUGUGGUCAAAUAGUUGUGACACUUGGGAUGCUUCCAUUCUAUGAAGCAGAGUGCAGUGCAAGAAUUUUGAAGCUGAUCUUAAUGAUAUGUGGGAGUCUUGUACGGAAAUAUCUGGCUGCACCCAGAAACAGAAUUGUAACACUUGAUCUUGGAUGUUACUGCCAGGAUUGCAUGUUUAGAACUAAUAUGGGUGUUUCUUUGCUCUUGAAAAACUUCCAGCUACUUAUUAGUCAACUGUGAAUUAAAGAAAUUGGCACUAAUUCAUCAUGAUCUUUAUUACCAAAGAUAUUAAAAUGAAUAAUAAAGUGCUGUAUUGAUGGUGGUGGGGAGGCGGG